CAUGCAGUCGAACGAUGAACCACCUUCGGGUGGGGAUUAGUGGCGAACGGGUGAGUAACACGUGGGCAAUCUGCCCUGCACUUCGGGACAAGCCCUGGAAACGGGGUCUAAUACCGGAUACURCGCSYHCGGGGAUYCUAUGSGSKUGGAAAGCUCCGGCGGUGCAGGAUGGGCCCGCGGCCUAUCAGCUGGUUGGUGAGGUAACGGCUCACCAAGGCGACGACGGGUAGCCGGCCUGAGAGGGCGACCGGCCACACUGGGACUGAGACACGGCCCAGACUCCUACGGGAGGCAGCAGUGGGGAAUAUUGCACARUGGGCGCAAGCCUGAUGCAGCGACGCCGCGUGAGGGAUGACGGCCUUCGGGUUGUAAACCUCUUUCAGCAGGGAAGAAGCGCGAGUGACGGUACCUGCAGAAGAAGCGCCGGCUAACUACGUGCCAGCAGCCGCGGUAAUACGUAGGGCGCGAGCGUUGUCCGGAAUUAUUGGGCGUAAAGAGCUCGUAGGCGGCCUGUCGCGUCGGUUGUGAAAGCCCGGGGCUCAACCCCGGGUCUGCAGUCGAUACGGGCAGGCUAGAGUUCGGUAGGGGAGAUCGGAAUUUCCUGGUGUAGCGGUGAAAUGCGCAGAUAUCAGGA
rnacentral:rRNA from 1 species